AGAUUGAACGCUAGCGGGAUGCUUUACACAUGCAAGUCGAACGGCAGCGCGGACUUCGGUCUGGCGGCGAGUGGCGAACGGGUGAGUAAUAUAUCGGAACGUGCCCAGUAGCGGGGGAUAACUACGCGAAAGCGUGGCUAAUACCGCAUACGCCCUACGGGGGAAAGGGGGGAUCGCAAGACCUCUCACUAUUGGAGCGGCCGAUAUCAGAUUAGCUAGUUGGUGAGGUAAAGGCUCACCAAGGCGACGAUCUGUAGCUGGUUUGAGAGGACGACCAGCCAUACUGGGACUGAGACACGGCCCAGACUCCGUACGGGAGGCAGCAGGUGGGAAUUUGGACAAGUGGGGGAAACCCUGAUCCAGCCAUCCCGCGUGUGCGAUGACGGUCC
rnacentral:rRNA from 1 species